rnacentral:misc_RNA from 1 species
AUCUCUUGCGCGCGCACAGACACACACAUCAACGCCUCUACGACGACGACUGGAUCCGCAAAGCAUCGGCUAGUGUCACUCUUCUCUGCUGUCUUUUUUUUUUCCAGAUUGGAGCACUUGCACCUCCUUCUCGAGCGUCUCCGCUUGCUUCUCGUGUAUUCCCCGCUUGCCGUGCUGCAAACCGUAAACAGCGCGCCAGUGGCGGAGAGGACUCCGUUGUGCAAACAAAAAAAACAAGAAAAACGGAGAAGGUGGGCAAGAGCAACGCCACAAGACAACGGUGUUGGUGGUUGUGGUUGUGUUGGAAGCGAUUGUGUGUGAGGCGCAGGCGACCCAUCGCCUCUCCUCUUGUUAUUCGCGCUCGCUCGCACACGUGCGCUUCACCUGCACACAGCCGUACUCAACUCGCCGUUUCAUCCCUCCUGGCUCCCAUCUUGAGACUUUUUGCGUCCACCCCCUCACCUUCUGUGGCGUCCAGGCACUGCAACGCCUAUCUACCCGCAGAACGACAAAGCAAGUAGGCGCAUACGGCUACGAAUUUCCCACCACUCCCAGACAACAAAUACCCACACAAACACAAAGGCGGCCCUGUAACAUACGUGCAUAAUAAAAUCAUCACAACCCCCUCCCCUCCCUCCGUGUAUCUCUCCCCCCCUCCCCUCUCACCGCCCCAAUUCACGAACGCUUUCUGUGACACUUUUCUUUUGGCUCUAUUUCUCUGUCUUUUCCAUCUUUUCUCUGUGUUUCUCUGGUGGACCCCCGCCUCCUUUCCUCCCUCCUCACCUUCGUUUGGCGAACUCUGGCUCGCUCCUACCUUCCCCUUCUCUCAUCUCACCACCACCACUACCGCACACACACACACGCGCGCGCCUCGGGCAUUUCAGUACGUACGCGUGCACAGCGGAGUCGGCUGCUCGUCACGUGCACAUCUGCCCGCCCCUCCUUCGUUCUUUCCCUUCAUUCCUUCCUUGGAGGGAGCGGUGCAAGUGUCUUGCGCUUUCUGCGGAACCUAUCGAGCCGUUUUCAGAGGGGUGCCCCGUCGAGCCUAACGAGAACGCAGGGGUCUGCCCGCACAGGCCCGCACAUUCACAUCUGAACUCAGUGGGUGAGACGCGAAGGGGAAGAGAGAAGGGAAGAGAAAGAGAAGACACCCCUUCGAAUCCGUCGACGGCAUCCUUUCUCGUCGUCGUUGUUUCUCGCGCUCUCGCGCUCUCGUGCCCUACCCACACGCCGCAGUGCAACCGUUCUGCUCCCUCUCUGGCUCUCGACACCUCUGCGAACCCGCUUUGCCCGAAGCCGAAGGAGCGGAAAGGGACAGCGGGCGUCCAUCGCCGUUGGCAGUCCGCCGCCCCCCUUCCUCGCCCUCCACUCGCCUCGCAGUGCGUCUUUGCUUUGCGCUCUUCUGUGCCGUUUCGUUGGAGUAAAGGACCCCCCUCCCCCCGCCCGCCCCCUCCGAUACCAAAAAACAAAAAAGAGGUGUUUGGGACACCGUUGGCGCGCGUUCUCGUGUGUGCGCUGCCGUGUGAUUGCCACCGCCUCAUACACUUACGUCUGCUCCCCCCCCUUCCCCACACCUCUGCCGCCGCCUCCUUUUCACAACUCGAAACCUUUUCGUUUUUGUAUAUGCGAUUCCUGUAACUUAUAUAUUUCGUUGUUGUGGCGUCUUCUCUGUGUGCGUAUGUGUGUGUGUGCCUCGUCUUCAUUUUCGCUUUGGUUCUCUCACUUCACUCAUUCACUUUCUGUUCGUUGCUGCCGUUGCUGGUGUUGUUGCUGCUGUCUUUCUCCUCCGCCCCUUCAUUUGUUUCCUUUCCUUCGUUCUUUCGCUGUGUGUGUGAGUGGGUGCGCGUGUGGGCACCAGUGCACAUCUGUUCUCUAUCGCCAGCGCCCCCGUAAGCCUACCUCUCUCUUUUUCUUUCUCUGCCAUUUUGGUCCACUCAGACGCGCGGCCACUGCGGCAGCCACACGAGCUCGACCUUGACUAUAAUUCUCUUUGACACCAAUCUUCCAGCGACGAUACAACACAUCGACGGACGGAGGUGGCGUGCUUCUUCGCUUGUGUGCCUUUGUUGCUUCCACUUGUGCCUUUCUAUUUGUUCUCUCUUGCGUAUUUGGGCGGUUAUCGUGGCUGCCUUCCCCUGUGCCCUCUAUUACGACCCUCCUGCCUGCCUGCCCCCUUCUUCUUUUCAACGUUGGUGCUGGCUUUACCCCCACAGGUUAUGUGCUUUGGGGGAGGGGGGCACCUCGUAUUAUUGGGCCAUUCCGCUGUGCUUUUUUUUUGCUCUUGUGGGCGUCGUGCGCGUCACAGCACGCGUGGUGCGGGCACUCUCUCCUUUCUCUCUUGCGCGCGCAUAUCUGCAUCAUCUGCGCCACAACGAUAGCCUCCCCACACCUCCUUCCCUUUUGUCACCUUUACAGCGGCCUCACCUUUUACUUGCUCAGUGUCACUUUCUUUUUCCUUUUCUGUCUUCACGCUGUUAGUGCUAUUGUUGUGUGUGUGUGCGCCACCCCUUCCAUUCCUGCCUCGACCCCCCCCCCUCGCACCACCGCACCACCAUCUUUCCUCGCGUGUCUGUCUGUCUGCCUCAUUUCCUACCCCACUACCGCUGCCGCUUUUCCUUUGCUUCUCUUUUCCUUUUUUUUUCAUUUCACUUUGUGAUCGCGUCAGCCGGUGCUCAUCUGCCGCUGCCGCGCCUCUCCACUCCUUUCGCUCUCUUGGCGUCAUCGUCCCUGACCCCACAAUCGUCGGCAACCAGAGCCUAGAGAAGCAUCCCCCCUCCUCCUCCCCCGAAAGCCCUCGUCACUCAAGAGAGCGAAGUGCGGUGUGCGCGCAGCUGCUUGUACAUCUCAGCAGACACCUCGAUUCGUCCCGCCCCCCGAGGCGCACACACGUACAAAGCCGCGUGUCUCAUUGUGCAUGGGCUAGGCUGCACGGCUGUGACCAGUACACGAUUCUCAUCAGCGCCGUCAUCUCUGUCGACUUCGACGGAACUGCACAUCCGCCGUGCUCGGCGCUACAGAGGAUCACAGCGGUGGUACUGCCACGCGCGGAGUGUGACCAAAGAGGACGCACGACGACGACAUACGCAAAAACGGCUGCGCCCAGUGGGGCACUGCUAUCGCCUUGAGUUUCCACAUCGACGGACUCGUUCUCUGACAGCGCCUCAACCACCACAGCAGAGUUUGGAGGCGGGCCCUUAUCCAUCUGCCGCCGUUUCGUACACUGCCGGCGUGGUAGGGCAUACCUUUCGGAUUCUCAGCGGCACGAGAGCCGAUUCGAGGCACCAAUGCACGAAGCAAUACUAAGUCUUCACAGCUCGCCAGAGAGCCUCUUGUCGGCUGAUCGGAGAUUCUGCUCCACCGAGGAUAGAAGCGUACGCCGCAGCACCCCGAAGGCGUUGCAACCGCCUCCGCCGUCUCGCUUACCGAGGCGGGCAACCUCGUCACCACUCACAUCGCCGUCGACCACGGUGGCGAUAGAAAGCGCCAGCAGAGCAGCAGGGCACCGCGGCGCACCGCAAGACCCCACUUUCUGUUCCAUCGCUGCCAUAAACAUACAGACGCAAGAAGCACUCGUCACGUCGCACCUGCGCACGCCAGAUCCGCGCGAUAGUAGUACCCUCGAUCACAGCCAGAGCCGGAGCGUAGACCUGCCGCCCAAGCAGCGGGGCAGCUUGCGGAAGCGGAGCGGCGGGGUCGGUAUGACCUCAGAGGCCUCCUUUCGGUGCUUUCGCACCGGGCCGGGCGCCAUGUUAGCUGAGGCGGCCGGCAUCGCCCGCAGCGCCAUUGCGUCAGAUGAGGGGGACCGCAGCAAUGCGAGCGGACCCGGGGGCCCGAGCAGCAGAAACGGCACCCCGCUGAUCAUCGACUACUCCUCUAGUCCUCUCACGCUGGCGGUCAACAGUGCGAACGCGAACAAAACCAUCAAAAACACAAGCAGCGCUACGAGCGUGGACAGCGUUUCGAUCAGCAAGCCUGCACGUCUCAGCUUGACUCGACCGACGCCGCUUGCCGAAGCGGCACCCGUUUCAGCGACUUUGAACGCCACACAGUCGAAGACGUCGUCAAGUUCUUCAGUGGCGCAGCCAGAGGUUGUGACCACGCCGCUAUCCCUGAUGCGCCAAGCCCCGCUAAAGUCGCCUAGCGGAGUGUCGCGCCACCGCAGUGGCCGCUCCCGGCAGGAUUCAUAUGCGUCUCUUUCCGUAGCGUCCACCAUCUCCGUGGAGGACCCGAGUCACCCGCACCGCAGCCGCCGCGAGAGCUCCGCGUGCUCGUCUUGCACGGACACAGGAGUGAGCGGCUUUCCCAGGCCGGCGUUCAAUCGCCGCGUGCACUUCUUGUUAGAUGAUCCUGCCAGAGAUGGUCUCUCAGUUGCUGAUGGCCUGACGGCGUCUCUGCGGUGCAGCGAUGAUGCCAGAGCGCGGCUUCCGCUUUGCCCAUCAACCUCUUCGAUUGUGCCGCCGCCGCCUGAUGCCGAUCAAAGGCCGGCGAUCUCCGCGAACAGCAGCAGCAACAGCAAGUCCGCCCUGAGCGCGUCAUCUGAGUCUCCCCAUGGGCAGCUGCAGCUCGGCCCCUCCCUCGGUGGGGCGGCGACGCGCCCGGCGUCGUCUUCGCUGUCACUCGACCGGUCGGCGACACCGGUUGCUCAAAGCGGCGGCGCCUCGCUGUUCUCGCUGCACCUCAACAAGAAAGAGGGACGCAUCGAGGCGACGCCAGCCUUCGCCCCGGCCAAAAGCCCGGGCAGCAGUGACAUGAGGACCACCGAGGUUGGUGGUGUGUGCUUCCAUUCUGCUCUCUCCGCGACGACGGCGUCUGCGACGGGUAUCGCUUCCUCGUGGAGCAGUACCUCGGGAACCCACGCUACUGCAACCUACCAGCCGGGCCAACCCCUGCCCAAGCCGGCGCUGAAGCAGGUCUCUCGAUAUAGCGAAGGCUGGAGCGCCGCCGACAGUCGCACGGGCUCGAAACUCGUGAACGAAGGCAGCGAUCGAUGGUUGUGGUGGCGGUCUAACGCCACGGCGGUUGCCGGCACGACGGCAGCGGGGUCCCCUGGGCCGGCGUCCUUGACGAGUGUGGUGGGCCGGCGCUUCACCAGCUACUUGCAAGGAGUGCUUAUUUCUCGGCAGCGGCAUCGCGUGCGCGCCGCUGAGGAGGCGUCCGCAACAUCAGGGAGAGCUGCGUUCGCCGGAGGAGUUGCCGCGAGGUCGCCAACGAAGCCCUCUUCCGUGCUAACUGCGGGCAGUCGGGGCAGAAGGGCCGAGCUACUAGUGAGGCUGUGGCUUGUGAAGUGGUCACUGGUGGGUAUGGUGGCGCUCGCGUCGUUCUUCUUUAUCUUGAUUGAGCUCGUCGCGGACUGACUUCUUCCUCACUUGAAGGGUCGAAUGGAGUGGGGACGAGGAAUGCCGGUGCUGUCAGGAUCUGUACCGCGGCGGCGAGGCGGUUGUUGUGGUGGGGUGCGGCCACGAAGCGAGCGUCAUUUUGUCAGCUUCUUCACCUCCCCUUCAGCUUUUAGCUCCAGUGUGUGUGUGUGUGUGUGUGCGUUGUAGCCCCGCGUGCUGCCCCUUCUGCCGUUCUGCUUCCCCCUUCCACAACCACGACUGCUCCCUCUUCUUCAGGACCACCUUCAUAUAUAUUCUCGUUUUGCGCCUGCGUGGUCGUGUGUGUGUGUGCGUGUACGUGCGUGUUUCUCUCCGCCCUUCCACUCAUCUCCAUUUUUUUCUGCUUCGCGUGCGCUGGAUAUCGUUGCUGCUGCGAUUACUUGUGCGUGAUGGAAGCAGAACGGUGCUCAGCUCGUGCGAGGAUGGAGAACGGAAGGGUUUGGAAGUGGCCAGCGGCAUUCGUUCGGUGCGUGGAGGGGCGAGAUCGGGGGUGUGGAUGAGGCCACUUUUAUGGGACGGUAAUGCACGAUAUGUCAGCACCUCCCUCCCGCUCUAUUUUCUUCCUUCGUUUUCGUUAUUGCGGCUGUACUCGCUGUCACCAACGCCAACAAAUUAGACGUGCAACACAGCCGCUGGCUCAACGCACUCUCGUCCCUUUUCCUUUGUGAUUGCUUGUUUUCUUUUCUGUCUUCUUCACUCGCCCACCCACAUCUGAGUAGGGCGGUGCUCUUCAAGUUUAGCUGUGGUGUUAGCAGCCGCCCGUCAUCAGCCCUUGCGAGGAUCUGCGACCCUUGUAGGGGUAACCAAGUCGGUUAUCGGUCGUCACGCGCGGAAUCAGACCGGAGGCUACUCGAAUAUGUGCGGGGUUGUAACGAGCGGUUGGCAUCAGCGGUCAAAUCUGAAGCUCGUGCCGUGCUGCCUUCUUCGCUCCUCUUCUUCCAUCCCUUCCUUCCCUCAUCACAAAGUCUGCGUGUUUUGUUCUGUUCUCUCUAACGGACGCGAUACGGUGGUAGGCGCGUGUGUUGGCGAUGCAUCUGCGAUUGUGUGGCUGCGUACCCAUGUGUGUAUGUGUGCGCCACAGCGCAGCUCAGGUUUCAGUUAAGUGACUGCAAGGGUGAAACGUGAAGGCAGACGAAGAGAGAGAGAGCAGCGCGCGCGAGAGUCUCUUCCCCUCCCCAAAUCUAAUAAAGAGGCGCUUGCCCGGCUACUGCACUGGGCAUUUUGUGCGAACGGGACACUAUCUCUUCUCCACCGCACCAAGGAGCCGCUCGCGCGAGUCUGCGAGCAGCGAAAUCAACUGAGCCUCUCCGAGCUCAUCGCCUUCUCCGAUGGUCUUUGCGUCGAAACGCUUCUCGCGCACUUG